rnacentral:sRNA from 1 species
UUGUUCAUUUUGUCGGACAUAGCAAAAAAGAAUUUCAUGAUCUCUGUAUUUUGUUACAUUGACAUCAGGUGCUUUUGAUGAGAAACAACAGUGAAAUAUCGUGUUCAUAAUAGAAACGAAAGUCAGGUAUUGCAGUAGGAAGUCUUUGUCAGCUUAAUGCUGAAGCCAAGAGUAGCACAAGGCACCACAUUCUUGUGCCCAUGGCAGGUUUUUAUAAUCCUUCUGAGUUCUCUUUGACAUCAAGCCCCACGUUGUUCCCCAAUCUCAAUAUACUGUUGGAGGCAGCCACUUAACAAUUAUAGUUGAAACCUGCCCCACAUUGUUCCCCAGUCUCAAUAUUCUGUUGGAGGCAGCCACUUAACAAUUAGAGUUGAAACCUGUCUGCCAUCCUUUGUCUCAAUGUUUGAGGAUGUACGCAGUGUUUUUGGCAGCGAUUAUAGGAAUGCAGUUGUUUAUUUGGCCUCAGCAGUUUAUUUAUGGCUGCAAUUAAUAUCCCUGAUCAUGGGCUUUUAAACCUAAAAUAGUUCAGAUCCUCCCUUGUUCCUCUUAAUGUCUAAAAGCUUUGAUUCUGUAAUAAGAAUAAAGUGUUGGAGUUGAAUAAAUUAAUUACACCCUUUGUAAGCUUUAAAAACAUGAAAUUUAAGGCUUACUCAUGUUGCUUGUAUUGAUACUCAUAUAGUUCAAUUUAGGUUAAUUUUUGUGUUAGGUAUAUCUCUUCUGGAACUGAUAAUUUGUAAUCUUAGACUUUUUUUUUUUUUAAGAUAAGUUACUUAGAGUAAGAAAUCCAGCUGGGAACAGUGGCUCAUGCCUGUAAUCCCAGCAUUUUGGGAGGCCGAGGCGGCUGGAUCACUUGAGGUCAGGAGUUUGAGACCAGCCUGGCUAACAUGGAGAAACCCUGUCUCUACUAAAAAUACAAAAAAUUAGCCAGGCAUGGUGGCAGGUGCCACACCCAGCUACUUGGGAGGCUGAGGCAGUAGAAUCGCUUGAACCCGGGAGGCGGAGGUUGCAGUGAGCCAAGAUCGCAUGACUGCACACUAGCCCGGGCAACAGAGUGAGAUUGUCUCAAAAGAAAAAAAAAAAAAAAUCCAUUCACAGAACUGCUAAAGAAAAACUAGAGGAAUAUUUUGCUCAUUUAGCUUUAAAACUCAUUAUUAGAGGUGUGUAUUUUACAGUUUUCUAAAUAUAGAUUAUGCUUUAUAAUACACAUAAAGCAAGUAUAUAUAACAUGCAUAUAGUAAAUAAAUUUUAAAAUAUUGACUAUUCCCCAGUUAAGCCUAUACUUCUUAAGGGAGACUACUGAUGUCAUUUUAAGCAUGUUUCAAAAUUCAAGUUUUAUUUUUAGAUCAAUAAGGUUUUUUUUUUUUUUUUUUUUACAUGCUCAGCACUAUAGGAAUAAGAGGACAGUGGAGAUUUGUAGGCUAAUAAGAUCGCUUUUAAACUUUGUGGUCCAUGUAAAAUUAUUAGUUGGAGAAUGUGUAAUUAGAGAACUAUAAGAUAAAGAGAUAACCUUUAGAAUUUGAAUGUACUAAAAUUGUACACAGCUUGGAAUAUUAAAAUCUUAAGGAUAUGCAAUGUUAAAACUG